GACGUAGGGUCCGAGCGUUGUCCGGAGUUACUGGGCGUAAAGGGCGCGUAGGCGGACAGUUUAGUCAGAGGUGAAAGCCCAGGGCUCAACCUUGGAACUGCCUUUGAUACUGACUGUCUUGAGUUCGGGAGAGGUGAGUGGAAUGCCGAGUGUAGAGGUGAAAUUCGUAGAUAUUCGGCGGAACACCAGUGGCGAAGGCGACUCACUGGCCCGAUACUGACGCUGAGGCGCGAAAGCGUGGGGAGCAAACAGG
rnacentral:rRNA from 1 species